AGCAGCCGCGGUAAUUCCAGCUCCAAUAGCGUAUAUUAAAGUUGCUGCAGUUAAAAAGCUCGUAGUUGAAUUUCGGGACCAUCAUGUUGGUCGUGCCUCGGUACGUACUGGCAUUGUUGGUUUCUCCCUUCUGACGAACCAUGAUGUCAUUAAUUUGAUGUCAUGGGGAAUCAGGACUGUUACUUUAGAAAAAAUUAGAGUGUUUAAAGCAGGCUCGCGCUUGAAUACAUUAGCAUGGAAUAAUGAAAUAGGACAUUUGAUUCUAUUUUGUUGGUUUCUAGGAUCGAUGUAAUGAUUAAUAGGGAUAGUUGGGGGCAUUAGUAUUCAAUUGUCAGAGGUGAAAUUCUUGGAUUUAUUGAAGACUAACUACUGCGAAAGCAUUUGCCAAGGAUGUUUUCAUUAAUCAAAGAACGAAAGUUAGGGGAUCGAAGACGAUCAGAUACCGUCGUA
rnacentral:rRNA from 1 species